GGUGGGGUAAGCGGGUGGUGAAAGCUCGGGGCUCAACCCCGAGUCGGCCAUGCGAACUGCUCGACUUGAGCACUGUAGAGGCAGACGGAAUUCCGGGUGUAGCGGUGGAAUGCGUAGAGAUCCGGAAGAACACCGGUGGCGAAGGCGGCCUGCUGGGGUGGAGCUGACGCUGAGGCGCGACAGCGUGGGGAGCAAACAG
rnacentral:rRNA from 1 species